AUUGAAACUGUGACGGGGAUUAGUAAAGUGAAAAGGUCUUACCAAGAGAGGAAACCAAUGGUGCGAGGUUUCUUAAGACGGUCAUUUGAACCUGCCUCUGAGUUCUGUAUCGGAUACAUAUGAAGAUACAUGCGGAUAAUGUCCGUUAUCAUGGAAAGUGUAUAAAGCUUUUUGCUUUAUGAAUUUAGGGUGGUACCGCCAGGCCUUGGUCCCUUUU
rnacentral:ncRNA from 1 species